UGGGGAAUAUUGGACAAUGGGCGAAAGCCUGAUCCAGCAAUGCCGCGUGAGUGAUGAAGGCCUUAGGGUUGUAAAGCUCUUUUACCCGGGAUGAUAAUGACAGUACCGGGAGAAUAAGCUCCGGCUAACUCCGUGCCAGCAGCCGCGGUAAUACGGAGGGAGCUAGCGUUAUUCGGAAUUACUGGGCGUAAAGCGCACGUAGGCGGCUUUGUAAGUUAGAGGUGAAAGCCUGGAGCUCAACUCCAGAAUUGCCUUUAAGACUGCAUCGCUUGAAUCCAGGAGAGGUGAGUGGAAUUCCGAGUGUAGAGGUGAAAUUCGUAGAUAUUCGGAAGAACACCAGUGGCGAAGGCGGCUCACUGGACUGGUAUUGACGCUGAGGUGCGAAAGCGUGGGGAGCGAAACAGGAUUAGAUACCCUGGUAGUCCACGCCGUAAACGAUGAUAACUAGCUGUCGGGGCUCUUAGAGCUUCGGUGGCGCAGCU
rnacentral:rRNA from 1 species